AUAUUGCACAAUGGGCGAAAGCCUGAUGCAGCGACGCCGCGUGAGGGAUGACGGCCUUCGGGUUGUAAACCUCUUUCAGUCAGGAACAAGCCUUCGGGUGAGGGUACUGGCAGAAGAAGCACCGGCUAACUACGUGCCAGCAGCCGCGGUAAUACGUAGGGUGCGAGCGUUAUCCGGAAUUAUUGGGCGUAAAGAGCUUGUAGGCGGUUUGUCGCGUCUGCUGUGAAAGCCCGGGGCUUAACUCCGGGUCUGCAGUGGGUACGGGCAGGCUAGAGUGAUGUAGGGGUAACUGGAAUUCCUGGUGUAGCGGUGGAAUGCGCAGAUAUCAGGAAGAACACCGAUGGCGAAGGCAGGUUACUGGGCAUUUACUGACGCUGAGAAGCGAAAGCAUGGGGAGCGAAC
rnacentral:rRNA from 1 species